ensembl:lncRNA
UUUUUUUUUUUUUUUUGUAGAGCUGGGGUCUCAUUAGGUUGCCCAGGCUGAUCUUAAACUCUUGGCCUCAAAUAAUCCUCCUGCGUUGGCCUCCCAAAGUGUUAGGAUUACAGGCGUAAGCCACUAUACCUGGAUCACAUUUUAUUUUCUUUCUUUUAUAGACAUUUUCUUCAGUGCUAUAUUACGUUUGUGAUUUUUAAAAGAAGAGAUGAAUAUUAGUUAGGGUUCUCCAGAGAAGCAGAAUCAAUAGGAUACGUAUACAUAAAAAGAUUUAUUAUGAGGAAUUGGCUCGUGUGAUUAUGGAGACUGAGAAGUUUCAUGGCCUGCUGUCUGCAAGCUGGAGAUCCAGGAAAGCCAGUGGUGUAAUUCCAGUUCAAGUUUGAAGGCCUGAGAACCAGGGGAGGUGACGGUGUCAAUCCCAGCACAAGGGCUCACUAGGCAGGCGGGAAGCAAAAGGAACAAAUUCCUCCUUCUGCCUUUUUGUUCUAGUCAGGCCCUCAAUGAAUUGGAUGGAGGGCAAUCUGCUUUCCUGAGACACGAUUCAAAUGCUGAUCUCAUCCACAACACCCUCACAGACACAUUCAGAAAUAAUGUUUAAUCUGGCCACUUCAUAAUGCCAUCUAGUUGACACAUAAAAUUAACCAUUGGAGGAUGGAACCCCAAUGUUAAAAAAAGACCACAAUUCCUAAAUAUUUUUCUCUUAACUAGCAGUGUUAUCUGAUAAAGUCAUUAAGUGGUUGACAAUUAGAUUUGUUAUUCUUGGUAAGUAUGAAUAUAUCAUUAAAGGAUGUUUAGAGUCACUAUAUUUUAAACCAAUGGAAUGGUUUUCUCAUAGUUAGUGCUGGGGCGGGCAGAUAGAUGGAGAAGAGGUGAGUGGAUGGAGAAGAGGCAAGUGGAUGGAGAAGCAGGUGGAUUGGGAUUCCAUCACAGGGCUUCAUCUGGAGUUACUCUCCACUAUUCACCUCUCUCUCCAGUGGUUGCAGUUAGAAUUGUUCACUGAAGAUUUCUACCCUAUAGCUAGCUUUUCCAAGCAGCUCAAGUGUCCUAGCUCUCCCCUCUUUCCUGGACUCACUUCAGGUCAGCCCACCUCAUUGGUGUGACAGUGCAGGAAUCACUGCUUUGGACUGUAUAAAUGGCCCAUGAGUAUCUCAGAGGGUCAUUAAAUGACUUCAUGGAGCACACAGCACCCAUUCCCCAGCUGUCUCUGUUUCUCAGGGAGGUGACUGGCUAGUUAAGGACCAGAACUAUUCAGAGACAGAAAUGAAUUCUGCUUCUGAUAGUGGUUAUACAGGGUUUCCAGGUACUUUGCAAAUUAUUCUCCUAUCUACCACUCUGUCUAAGAAGGCAGACCAGGGUUAUGGGAGGCAGUUUUUGGAGCACAGAAAAGAUCUGAGGCUGGUGACUCAAUAACCACUGUCACCAGUUCCUGAACUCUAUUUCUGCCUAGAAGGAGUAGAGUGGCAUGGGCAUUUCCCUUUCUUUAACAAUGUAUGCCAGUAAAAAGCAGACUAGCAAAUUACAUGACUGCCACAUGAGGUCAUUUGAAAGGUAGUAGGAAGCACCCCAGUCCUACCAAGAAUGCUUCUAAAAAUGCUGUGGAGAGAGUCUGUGAAGCAGUGACUCUUUCUUGGUCACAGUCACCCCUUAAGGGACAUGAAGAAUUCCAAGUCAGUUCAGCGCAGGCCCCAGGAAGGGAGGGAUCCCACAUAUUGGGUCUGGGGUCUGGAAGGAUGGAGGAACAUCAGUGGAAAUGACAGCAGUUUGGAGAGGAAGUCCUCAGAUGGCAAAGACCCUCAGAUGUCUCUCCACUUCCAGACUCCAGUGCCCUGAAGCAGGUCUAAAUUUCUCACUGAUGUGAGAAACCUGGUGAGGGCCUUGCAGUGGGCAAUCCCAGAACCACAGACAGGAUACAGGGAAGAAGGCACUGCCAGUGGGAUUUUCAUCUCUCCUAUCCAGGCCUGGUCACUCAGGUCAUCCAUCUGGCUAGGGAGCUGAUGGCAGGCAUGAACAUUCAGCAAAAAGGAGUUGAGUAGAGCCUGAGCCUGCAUCUGGGCUAGAGUCACUUCAAAGCCCAGUUUUCUCUCCACUCUCCCCUCAACCCUGACAGCCCCAGCACCACAACAAGGCUAUCUGGUUGACUAGUCUGCUCAGCCUCCAUAUCAGCCAUCUGCCCUGUGGGCUUCCUCAUCUCACCCAGCAGGGCGGACCCCAGGGUGUUUUUUCCCAGUGCUUUCCCCAGGCCAGUUUUAAACUCUUCAAUCAGGUCUACUAGGAGAGCUUUCAGAGUUUGGGGGAAUUCUGUAUUUUCAUUUUGGUUUUGCAGGUUUUUUUUUUUUUCUUAUCCAGAUAAAUAUGCUCAUCAUGAGCUCCAUGUGGCUAGGUGAUCUGGUCUUAGUGGCCCUUCUCUGUGGGGCCAGUUCCUUUUAUAGGGGACCUCUGGUCAGAGGCUAUGAUGAUGAUGACCAUUGGCUGGGAAGCCAAGACACUCAGGAACAGUCCAGCCCAGACACUGUCAGGCAGGUGAUAUUGGCACCUAUAGCCAUAGUGUCAGGAGAGAGAGUGGCAAGUCUUAGGGACACAUUUAAGAGUAUAAGAGGUAGGAGAUGUCUUUGAUGGAUAACCCAUUUGAGGUUUUUUGGGGAAGGCUAUUUUCCACAGAAAUGUAGUCCUCCUCACUCUCAGGGUGGGGCUCUGCAUCGCCAAAGGGAAAGAAUGGUGCUGAGCCACAGACAUGGGAGGCUAGGACAGGAAACAGUGCUCACCUAGGAUUCUCCUAUUGCCCA